CAGCAGCAGCCGCGGGAACACAGAGGGUGCGAGCGUUAAUCGGAUUUACUGGGCGUAAAGCGUGCGUAGGCGGCUUUUUAAGUCGGAUGUGAAAUCCCUGAGCUUAACUUAGGAAUUGCAUUCGAUACUGGGAAGCUAGAGUAUGGGAGAGGAUGGUAGAAUUCCAGGUGUAGCGGUGAAAUGCGUAGAGAUCUGGAGGAAUACCGAUGGCGAAGGCAGCCAUCUGGCCUAAUACUGACGCUGAGGUACGAAAGCAUGGGGAGCAAACAGGAUUAGAUACCCCGGUAGUCCCUGUCUCUUAUAA
rnacentral:rRNA from 1 species